UGCCUGUGAUGUACCCGAAUAUCUGACACCUCAUAUGAAACUGUAAAACAGCUUCUUGAUUAUCCUUUGGGCUGAGGCAU